AAACUCCCCAAUGCCCGAAAGGGUGAGGGGGUCACCUCGAGUGCCACCCUCGUGGUGGCUUUUGCGGGGUCUAAAAAGCCCCGCGAAUAAGGGGAGGGCAAGACGGGUGUCAGCCGCCGCGGUAAUACCCGCUCCCCGAGUGGUGGGGACUAUUACUGGGCUUAAAGCACCCGUAGCCGGCCGGAUGUGUCUCCCGUUAAAUCCACGGGCCUAACCCGUGGGCUGCGGGAGAUACUAUCCGGCUUGGGGGUGGGAGAGGGCGGCGGUAUUCCCGGGGUAGGGGUAAAAUCCACUGAUCCCGGGAGGACCACCGGUGGCGAAGGCGGCCGCCCAGAACACGCCCGACGGUGAGGGGUGAAAGCUGGGGGAGCAAACGGGAUUAGAUACCCCGGUAGUCCCAGCUGUAAACGAUGCGGGCUAGGUGUCGGGUGGGCUACGGGCUCACCCGGUGCCGAAGGGAAACCAUUAAGCCCGCCGCCUGGGGAGUACGGCCGCAAGGCUGAAA
rnacentral:rRNA from 1 species